UCCAGGCGUGAGCUACUUGGGGGAAUCGGUUUAUCCGCCUGAGGAGUGAGUGUGGUUCUUCCUAGAGGGAGAUGGAGGGAAGAGGUGACUUCUGGAAAGUCUCCUUGCUUCCCACCCACGCAUCUUGUGAGGAAAGAAGCAAGAGGAACAGGAAAUGAAUGUCAACAGCUGUCUUGUAGUGCGGAGUGAGAGAGUGUUUGCAUGGAUGCCCGGAUGGGGGAACUGCGCAUCUACUCAGAGAAACAUGGCAGCGGGAGCCCCGUGAAGCUGGUGAGAGGUAAGGCCAAAGGGUUGGAGAUGGUCCACAUCAGGCUGUUUCUUGGCUCCGUGCUCAGCCUCAACCACCACUUCUCACCACUUGAACCACUACCCUGCAAGGAAGCCAACACUUUACCAGACUAGAAAACCAAGGGGUGGUGAGGUUCCAUUAUCCUUGCUGGAAGCCACACGGCCGGUGUCCUUGCAAAAUGGGCACAGCGACAUUACCUAAGCAGUUUCUGGCAGCAACAAGCUUUUUACACAGCAAAAGACCGGAAACAACCCAAUGCCCAUCACGGGGGACUGGUUACAUGGAUGGGUAGACCAUACAAUACUCUGUGCGGUCUUCGAGAGAAAUGCUGAACGCUUGACGUAUGGAUAUGGAAUACUUCCCAGAAACACAGUGUUCAGAAGAAAAGGCAAGCACGGGGCAAUGUGUGUUAAGAUCCUGUCGUUUUUUUGAAAAAGAUAGGGGAAAGAAUAUUCCAGACAAUGGGGGUCAUUUCUGGGAAGAAUAACUGCAGCUUAUCAAGAGCGAGAAUGGGGGGAAGACUUCAUCGAAUACGCUUUUGUCGUGUGUGAGUUUGGGGCUUUUUGAAGGCACGACCCAUUCAAAAUA